rnacentral:rRNA from 1 species
UUCGUACUGUGAAGCAUCCUGUUAAGUCAGGCAACGAGCGAGACCCACGCCAACAGUUGCCAGCUCGUCCUCCCGGGGAUGGUGGGGACGACUGUUGGGACCGCCUCUGCUAAAGAGGAGGAAGGAAUGGGCAACGGUAGGUCAGCAUGCCCCGAAUUAUCUGGGCUACACGCGGGCUACAAUGGGUGGGACAAUGGGUAUCGACACCGAAAGGUGAAGGCAAUCUCCUAAACCCAUCCGUAGUUCGGAUUGUGGGCUGCAACUCGCCCACAUGAAGCUGGAAUCUGUAGUAAUCGUGUCUCAAAAAUGGCACGGUGAAUAUGUCCCUGCUCCUU